CAUCCACUAAGCUAGCAUUCUAAUCCAGUGACCUUAUUUUUCAAAAUGUAGGAGAAUAAAGACUUCUCAGACAAACAAAAAUAGGAGACCUGCCCUGCAAGAAAUGUUAAAGUUGUUCAGAGAGAAGAAAAUGAUCCAGGUCAGAAACUUUAUCUGCAUAAAGAAUGAGAAAGCAUCAGAGAAGGAAUAAACGAAGGCUCAGGGAAAGGCAGGGCGUCGUCAGUGUCGCUGGGUCCUGGCAGGAGCCGUGUAGGAGAGCGACGCAGCUGCAGACGGAGAGCUCCUUCCGUGAUCCUUGGGCUGAGUCUUUUAUCUCCAACGACUUCUCUCCUGUGGUACCAGCUACCGUUCACGCCACUGUAAAUCCUGGUAUUGCAUGUGAAAAUCGUAAAGGACCUGAAUGAUGUUUGCUUCUUCAUUCCUUUGAAAAGAUUGGAUUUUCUCCUGGCAGAGGGUGAGAUUGCAAGCAGAUGACCUUGAUCCAGUUGAGAGCAGAUUUCAGGCUUCCUUAGGGGGCUGGUCUGUUUCUCAUUUGUGCUUACUCCUGGGAAUAACAUCUACCUCUAGGGCAUAGGUCUCUGGGUCUCAAUAGGAACUCUGGGGUUUUUAGCAAAGUCUUUCUGCCCUUUGAGCCAUGAACUCUGACUUCUCACCCCAGUUCCAUGAGAUUGUCAAAAUCUCUGCUCAGAUUUUUAGCCUACAAGGGCUGCUUUCUGCUUGUUUUAUUUUUCAGCAUUUUGUUUGUUGUAUUAGAGGCUUAGGAUUCGGCAAAUACUUAGAGGAAAUGUUGAAUAGAGAGUUUCGGGCUCACAUCUAUGAUUCUCUCUUCUCUAAGAUUAUAGCCCCUGAAAUCCCUGCCAUUAUGACAUUCCUUAACCCCAGUCUUUGCCUCCACAGUCCAGUGAAACUCCCACAAGCACCCCAACACAUGUAUACUUGUCUUCUCUUCACAGCACAGGAAAUUUUCAGAUCCCUGGAGGAAGUAUGGGCCACAACUCAAUGUCCUUUCUUUCUUUGUUGGAUCUUGGUAACUCGAAUCCUGAAGUUUGUUGUUUUUAAUUGAUGUCUUAUAUUUGUAUCCUUUGGGAGUGUUAGACUGAUGUAAACUUCUCCACUGAAAGGAAAGUGCUGGUGAUUUUAAAAUCUGGAGUACAUUCCAGGUCUUGGUACUGGCACCAACAGGUGACAGGGUGCUAAAACUGCUCAGCUCCUAUAAGGGCCAUUCUUCCCAGCACCCCCUUCAAUUAUAGUCUUUGAAUACAAUAUUUAAAGCAGGCAUUCUUAGUACAAAGAACAAGAGAUCGACAGAUUGUCUGAUCAAGAAAAUUUCUCCACUGAUGAGGCAGAGAACCCUUGAUAUCCUCCCUAGUAGGAUUUUAUAAUUGCUAGAGACCACUGAGGGCUUUGCAUUUCCCAUUGUUCUCCACUCUUUAUGAUAGUUUAGUUUUAUUUUUCUUGUUCUCUUGGAUCAUUGUUUAAAUAUGUCAUGAGCAGGUAGCUUGUAAUUUAGUUUAUACAUCAUCAAACCACAAGAAAUCAUAGCCAGACUUGAUGGGAAGGAUUAAACAUCACUCAGAGAUCUUAUAUUUUGACCUGGAUGCUAAAAAGAUAGGGCCGUAUGGCUGUCUCUUUUGGAGAGGUGGGAAGUAUACUUAAUGCCUGGGAAGAUGUGUGUAUGAAUGUUGUGUAUGGAUGUUGGGGAACCAAAGUGUGAACUGUAGGAGAGAUUGUUUAUUGCCUACGUAAUAAGUAGCCUUACUUUGUUCCUUACUAAUCAGACUCCACUUUGUGGUAAGCUGCGUGAACCUCUAAAACUUUACAUUUCCCAACCUUCCUGGCAGACAGAAAAAAUCACUGACUCACUUUUACCAAAUGACAGAUGAGCAGAAGUCAUUGAGUAGAGCUUCCAGGAAAGGACCCUAAAAGAGGGGAAGAAUCACCUAGUAUAGGUCCUUUUUGCUGUUGUUGUUCUUUUGCUCCUUCUCUAUCUCCUUGCUUCCAAUAUUAAUAAUAAUAUUAAUGGAGGAUUGGAACUGUGGCAUCUCUCUUCACUAUCUUCACAUUAUGAAGGUGAAGCCAAGAUGAUCUCAGUCCUAGGCUCUGACAGCCAUGACCAGUUGAUAUAAUUGUCAGCACCUGCCUACCUUCUGACUUUUGUUACGUGGGAAAAUAAAGCUCUCAGUUGUUUAAAACACUGUACAAUGAUUUAUUUUCCUUGUAGGUAAACCCCGCAGUUUCAAAUCUGCAUUAUUAAGAGUAGAAGGGACUGUACAAUCUUCUCUUUUCCUCAAAGCACCCUCAAAUCCACAUUUUAUGGAACUAAAUGUCAA